rnacentral:rRNA from 1 species
AGAAUCAACGCUGGCGGCGUGCCUAACACAUGCAAGUCGAACGAGAAAGUGGAGCAAUCCAUGAGUACAGUGGCGCACGGGUGAGUAACACGUGACUAACCUACCCUUGAGUGGGGAAUAACCUGGAGAAAUCUAGGCUAAUACCGCAUAACACCUACGGGUCAAAGGAGCAAUUCGCUUAAGGAGGGGGUCGCGGCAGAUUAGCUAGUUGGCGGGGUAAUGGCCCACCAAGGCAGUGAUCUGUAUCCGGCCUGAGAGGGCGCACGGACACACUGGAACUGAAACACGGUCCAGACUCCUACGGGAGGCAGCAGUGGGGAAUUUUGCGCAAUGGGGGAAACCCUGACGCAGCAACGCCGCGUGGAGGAUGAAAGUCCCUUGGGACGUAAAACCCCUUUCGACCGGGAAGAUAAUGACGGUACCGGAAGAAGAAGCCCCGGCUAAACUUCGCGCCAGCAGCCGC